rnacentral:lncRNA from 1 species
CGCCGUCACACUGCAGAGCGUAUUUAAAGAGACACUUCGCUCCGCGCUCGCUCCCCAGCACCAGACCCUCGCCCGAAAACGCCGCCGGGCGGACUGCACGACCCUGUGUUAUUCCCAAAGGCAAUCUCCAUCCGUGGAGAAGCUGCAGGAACAGAAAUAUACACAAGAAAAUGGAUUUGGAAGGAAUUUUCCAUCCUUUAUUUAACAUUCUCAAGUCCAGAUAUGCCAGAACCGAGGUGCACCUGUCGUGAACCCGUCUGAGUGUGAGUCAGCAGGGCAGCCGCAGCCGGUGUAGACAGACAGGGCCUGUGGCUGUGCAGAAAGCGUCCCUGUCCCCCUACCCCAACCCUCCUGCAUCCUGGGCCACAGAGCUGGGCAUCCAGAGCCAAGGCGAGUGUGGAGGCCAGGGUGCCAGGGGCGGCGCAGCCCAGCCUCCCACCCGCAGCGAGGUUUGGGCUCCGCACACAUCCCACAGGUCCCUAUCCUGCCCCCAGGGGCCUCCUACCCGACAAGGUGGGUCCAAGUCCACUCCAGUUUUCGUCACAAACUCCGUUUUCUGGGGCACGUGCUGGCCUGGUGGCAGCCUCAGCAAGAGUCUCAGGAACUGCCCUGGGUGACUCCACACCCCUCCACCUGUUCCCCCUUUGGCCCUGGGUGACCCCACACCCCUCCACCUGUUCCCUCCUUGGCCUCCACCCUUGCAUGGCUACUUCUGCCCCAGGUUCUGUGACACUGGCACCUGUUCAGGGGGUCCCCAGGCCCUGCUGCCAUGGAUUUUGAGGGGCCCGAAGGAUGUACUAUUGGGAGGUUGUCAUGAAGACUCACUGAGGCAGAAUUAGAUGCAGGGGUGACAGCGUUCCCCUUCCCCGGCCUCUCAUUAUGGGGCUUUUGAGCGGGAUGUGCUCAGGGCCCCACUGCCCCAUCUAGCUGGUGUUCCCAGAGCCCCUCUGUGGGGACACUGUGCUGGUCCCUGAACUCCAGCUGAGGGACACAGGGUCCAGGCAGGCGACCGUCUAGUUCCCAGCUGGAGACGCUCCAGGCACCCCAGGACCUGGCCGCCCUGACUCCCUGGACACCGUUCCCUUGGAGCCUCGGAGCCCCCCCUGGUGUCCCCUCGGUGAUGGUCCUGGACAAGAGGGCUGGGAAGAGGCAGGCAGCAAGGGGAGGAUUCUGCCCCAGACGUCCCCAGGCCGGGGGUCCCCAUGGGCUCUGCCCUGACGUCUUACUCCUGCACCCAGCGGCUCCCACCACAGAGACUGCUCCAGUUGCAGGUUAGACCCCACUUGCGGUUGUGUGUUCCAGAAGUCUCCGGGCGCUGUGUGGCAGGAUGAGGAGCUGCCCCCCUGGAGGAUCACGCAGGCCUCUGGGUGGCAUUCAGCAGGGUUGGCUGCGGCACCGGCUGACCACAGGGCCCAACUUUCCAGUCCCAGCCGGAGGGAAGCGUCUCAACCAUGUUGUAGGCACACGGGUGAGGGUGCUGCCUGCCUCCCUGACUCUUACCUCCCCAAGAGAGGAAAACAAAAGAAAAAAAGAUAAGACCAGGAAAUGGAAAUAAGACAAAGAAGAAUGAAAUUUUAAAAUCCGAACAAACCCAAACAUGCUGUUUCAAAACGUAAGUCCAUGAAGAGUCUCGUGGUGAGAAAGACAGAAUUCCUAGCCAGGAAAAUGCCCCGUGCUUGCCCCUCGGAGGCAGGUGCUCACCACGGCAGGGUCUAUCUAGGUGUUUAUUAAGGUGUCUCACCACGUAUCGCCCAGAUUCACCAGAGAUGCAGAGGCGGAGGAUACGUUCCUGUUUACAUUGAUACAUAGUUACAUAGGUGAAGAGCUUUACAGCGAGGAAGCGGCUCACGCGGCCAUGAGGGACCCAGGCAGGAGCUGCUGUUGCUGCCCCAGCAACUCCACGAGUGCUCGAUGGGAAACUGCAGACAGCAGCCUUGCCAAGCGGAUGCCCAGGGCCGACCACCGCAGCCCCUCCAGCCACGUUCUCCAUCAGGGCAGCCUCCUGCUGGCUUCGGCACUGCAGGCAGCACACCAGCGAGGGGUGGGGCUGUGUGCCACGAAGCGUCAUCCAUGGACAUGCCACGAAGGGUUAUUCUUCUUUUGACUUUUUCUGAUGGUUUAAAACUGUAAGAACAUGCAGCUCACAGUCCGCACGGAAGCAGGCAUGUGGCUCCUGCCUCACUGUGGGAGGAAAGAUGUUCUCUAAAGAAAUGGCUGGGUUUGCGGAGGGGUUUGUGGAGGGCCGGGCAGUCUGAACACAGCCCAGCUGGCCUUGGUGGAGGUGGGGCUGGCACAGGGGGGUGGGGGCAGUUCUUCCUGACGCAAAUCCUAACGCCUUCAACACUGACCUUCCAAAGAAACAGCUGCUGGACGCUGCCCGACAGCAACGAGAGCCCCGCUCCUAAGGCGCGCGACUCUCGAGGGCUUUGUUGUUUAUUUGGCACCCGAGGCCCAGGCUCACAGGGUCUCGGGUGCAUGGGACCCCCCAGCCCUUCCCACUGCUCUGCGAUUCUUCCUCCCUUCUGGAAAGGUCAGUUUGGGGUUCUAUUCUGGGAGGGGCCAGGCCGCCACCUGGCCUCAUUAACUGGGCAGGCCACUGGGACCUCCUCCGAAACGCUGCGGCCCUGGCCGAAGACUUGCCUCCCGCCGGGAGCCUUCGGCCCUCUUAGUAGUGGAUGUGGGCUUCCUCCCUCUGAGGGGACGUCCUGAUGGACACGAGAUGUGGGGCGCCCGUGGGUGGCCGCCUGCUCCUGCCACAGUCCCCCUUGGGGCCUGAGCUGCGGCUGCUGCCUCCGUAGGGAAGGAACAAUGGGGGGUGGGCCCGCCCCUACCCAGAGAGAGUGGGCCGUGUUGCCUGCAAGGCCUCAGCCAGGGGACCACGUUUCUCUGCAUCUUGUGGCUUUGGGUUCUGCAGGCUGUUUGUGGGAGAACGGGAAACAGUCCCAGAGAUGACGCUGCCUCAUGCAGGUUAACAGAGUUGGAGGUCAGGCCGACGCCUGAGGCUCAGGACGCUGAUGGGCGCCUUCCCUCACCAGGGCCAUUUGGUGGAGACUCUGAGAGCCUGAACUUAGAAGCCCGCCGAGAGGGGAAGUGGCGGCCUCCGGGGAGUGGGCAGCCUGGCCGCAGAGCGCGCGGGACCCAGGGCCACCGUCCUCCCGAGACAGCGGCAGCAGCCGCCACUCACCGUGCGGAAUUAAAAACGGCUCUCUGGUUGCCACGGCAACCAGCCUUCUCCCCCCAGCGUCAGUUUGAAUUUGUGCAGACCAUUCCUAGCCAAGAUUCAAGCCAACAGAUUCGUGCUUACCCUGAGGUGAAGCCUCGUUUGAGAACCAAAUAAUAA